rnacentral:rRNA from 1 species
UACGUAGGGACCGAGCGUUGUCCGGAUUCAUUGGGCGUAAAGAGCGUGUAGGCGGCUAGGUAGGUCCGUUGUGAAAACUCGAGGCUCAACCUCGAGACGCCGGUGGAAACCAUCUAGCUAGAGUCCGGAAGAGGAGAGUGGAAUUCCUGGUGUAGCGGUGAAAUGCGCAGAUAUCAGGAAGAACACCCGUGGCGAAGGCGGCUCUCUGGGACGUGACUGACGCUGAGACGCGAAAGCGUGGGGAGCGAACAGG